CCUACGGGUGGCAGCAGUGAGGAAUAUUGGUCAAUGGGCGCGAGCCUGAACCAGCCAAGUAGCGUGAAGGAUGACUGCCCUACGGGUUGUAAACUUCUUUUAUAAAGGAAUAAAGUGAGGCAUGCGUGCCUUCUUGUAUGUACUUUAUGAAUAAGGAUCGGCUAACUCCGUGCCAGCAGCCGCGGUAAUACGGAGGAUCCGAGCGUUAUCCGGAUUUAUUGGGUUUAAAGGGUGCGUAGGCGGAGCGUUAAGUCAGUGGUAAAAUUGGGGGGCUCAACCCAUACCCGCCAUUGAAACUGGCGCUCUUGAGUGGAAGAGAGGUAUGCGGAAUGCGUGGUGUAGCGGUGAAAUGCAUAGAUAUCACGCAGAACCCCGAUUGCGAAGGCAGCAUGCCGGAUUCCUACUGACACUGAAGCACGAAAGCGUGGGGAUCGAACAGGAUUAGAUACCCGAGUAGUC
rnacentral:rRNA from 1 species